rnacentral:tRNA from 1 species
GGGAGUAUAGUAUAGCGGUAAAUAUAUGUGACUUCUAAUCACCAUGACACCAGUUCGAGUCUGGUUACUUCCA